AUGCGAAAGCUCCUUCGGGAGUGGGUAGAGUGGCGAACGGGUGAGUAACGCGUAGGAAUCUACCCAGGAGUGGGGGACAACCCGAGGAAACUCGGGCUAAUACCGCAUACGCCCUACGGGGUAAAGCGGGGGACCUUUCGGGGCCUCGUGCUUCCGGAUGAGCCUGCGUCGGAUUAGCUUGUUGGUAGGGUAACGGCCUACCAAGGCGACGAUCCGUAGCUGGUCUGAGAGGAUGAUCAGCCACACUGGGACUGAGACACGGCCCAGACUCCUACGGGAGGCAGCAGUGGGGAAUAUUGGACAAUGGGCGCAAGCCUGAUCCAGCCAUGCCGCGUGUGUGAAGAAGGCCUUCGGGUUGUAAAGCACUUUCAGUGGGGAAGAAAAGCCUGGGGUUAAUAACCCCAAGUCUUGACGGUACCCACAGAAGAAGCACCGGCUAAUUCCGUGCCAGCAGCCGCGGUAAUACGGAAGGUGCAAGCGUUAAUCGGAAUCACUGGGCGUAAAGCGCGCGUAGGCGGUUUGGUAAGUCAGAUGUGAAAGCCCCGGGCUUAACCUGGGAACUGCAUUUGAUACUGCCUCACUGGAGUGUAGUAGAGGGAAGCGGAAUUCCACAUGUAGCGGUGAAAUGCGUAGA
rnacentral:rRNA from 1 species